rnacentral:tRNA from 2 species
CCGCCACUAGCUCAGCAGGAAGAGCCGAUAACCAUUUAAGUUGUAGGUGCGGGGUUCGAGACCUCGGUGGCGGACCA